AGCGAACGUUAGCGGCGGGCUUAACACAUGCAAGUCGAGCGAGAAAAGGGCUUCGGCCCUUAGUAAAGCGGCGGACGGGUGAGUAACACGUAGGUAAUCUUCCCUUGAGCGGGGGACAACAGGCCGAAAGGCCUGCUAAUACCGCAUACGUUUCUCGGGACUCCGGUCCUGGGAAGGAAAGCUAGGCCGCAAGGUCCGGCACUCGAGGAGGAGCCUGCGUCGCAUCAGCUAGUUGGUGGGGUAACGGCCUACCAAGGCGAAGACGCGUAGCUGGUCUGAGAGGAUGAUCAGCCACACUGGGACUGAGACACGGCCCAGACUCCUACGGGAGGCAGCAGUGGGGAAUAUUGGACAAUGGGCGCAAGCCUGAUCCAGCCACGCCGCGUGAGUGAUGAAGGCCUUCGGGUCGUAAAGCUCUGUGGGGAGGGACGAACCGCCGUUGGUUCAUAGCCAACGGCAUGACGGUACCUCCUUAGCAAGCACCGGCUAACUUCGUGCCAGCCGCCGCCGUAACAC
rnacentral:rRNA from 1 species